GUGGGUCGCGUUGAGUUUUGUUGUCCAGCGGCGGCGGCGACGGCGAGUACUCGUCACAGGUGACGUCACAGCUGGCCUGUAUCGCGCGCUUCUACACGAGCCCGUGACGUGACGGCGACGUCAGGAUCGGCGACCAGCGAAAAGGGGGCCGGCCAAGGCUAAGCGUGCCCGGUCAAAAAGCCCGACGGCCGCCGAAGCGAGUGGUAGCGCAUUCGGGCCGACACUUGUCACACGAGCGAGCGAGCGAGCGAGCGAAAGUUGGAAUCGCUGGGGUUUCAAAGCCUGCUGACGACCCGAGGAUUUGCAACGCGUCUCAGCAGCUUCUCGAGAAAUCAACGCACCUUGCACAGUGAUGCUGCCCCCGCGCUGGCUGUUCCUCCUGGUCGUGUUCCUGGUGCAGUGCCGAGCGCAGCAGCACCAGAGGGGGGGAUCGCCCGAACGGUCAGCGUUCUUCGGCCCCAUCAAGCAGAGCGCCGCCGUGCCCGCAGAACAGAGGAACUACGCCUACUUCAGUAACGCUCUGC
rnacentral:lncRNA from 1 species